AAAGCCCCCUGAAGGAGCAGGAAAGAAUGCUGGAGCACAAGCAGAAGAUUCAAGAAGAACUACUUAUUGAGGGAUUUGAAAACGAAUCUGAGAAGAUGAGGAAAGAGAUAAAUCAACUAA